rnacentral:rRNA from 1 species
UCAAGCUACUAAGGGCAUACGGCGGAUGCCUAGGCGCCAUCAGCCGAUGAAGGACGCGGUAAGCUGCGAAAAGCUACGGGGAACUGCAAGCAAGUAUUGAUCCGUAGAUGUCCGAAUGGGGAAACCCACCUGCCGUCAUGGGCAGGUAUCCGAAAGGAAGGGAACCCGGGGAACUGAAACAUCUAAGUACCCGGAGGAAGAGAAAUCAAACGAGAUGCCCACAGUAGCGGCGAGCGAAGAGGGCAGAGGGCAAACCGGGGAGCUACGGCUCUCCGGGGUUGAGGACUGCAUUUAGUCUUAAUGGUCUAUCCGAACUACCUGGAAAGGUAGGCAACACAGUGUAAAAGCCACGUAGGUUAAAGACCAGAGAGAUGAGCAGUAUCCAGAGUACCACGAGGCACGAGGAAUCUUGUGGGAAGCCGGGGGGACCACCCUCCAACCCUAAACACUGAAUGGCGACCGAUAGCGCAUAGUACCGUGAGGGAAAGGUGAAAAGAACCCCGGGAGGGGAGUGAAAGAGAACCUGAAACCGUAUGUCUACAAGCAGUCGGAGCGAAAGCGACGGCGUGCCUAUUGAAGAAUGAACCAACGAGUUACGUGCACUAGCGAGGUUAAGUGGAAGACACGGAGCCGAAGCGAAAGCGAGUCUUAAGAGGGCGGAUAGUUAGUGUACGUAGACCCGAAACCGCAGUGAUCUACCCAUGUCCAGGUUGAAGCGCAGGUAAAAUUGCGUGGAGGACCGAACCUGUGAGCGUUGAAAAGCUUUAGGAUGAGAUGUGGGUAGAGGUGAAAUUCCAAUCGAACGCGGAGAUAGCUGGUUCUCCCCGAAAUAGCUUUAGGGCUAGCCUCAAGUAGUAAGUAUAGGCGGUAGAGCACUGAUCGGGCUAGGGGCCAUAAAGGUUACCGAACCCUGUCAAACUCCGAAUGGUUAUACUGUAGAGCUUGGGAGUCAGACUACGAGUGAUAAGAUCCGUGGUCAAAAGGGAAACAGCCCAGACCACCAGCUAAGGUCCCCAAUGUCGUACUAAGUGGAAAAGGAUGUGGGGUCUCUAAAACAACCAGGAUGUUGGCUUAGAAGCAGCCACCAUUUAAAGAGUGCGUAAUAGCUCACUGGUCGAGAGACCCUGCGCCGAAGAUUACCGGGGCUAAAGUACGAAACCGAAGCUGUGGCUACGACUUAGGUCGUGGGGUAGGGGAGCGUUCUGUGAGGGCUGAAGUCGUUCUGUAAGGAACGGUGGACUUCACAGAAGUGAGAAUGUUGGUAUGAGUAGCGAAAAGAAUGGUGAGAAUCCAUUCCACCGAAAGCAUAAGGAUUCCUGGGCAACGAUCGUCGUCCCAGGGUAAGUCGGGACCUAAUCCGAGGCAUGGAGCGUAGGAGAUGGACAACUGGCAGAUAUUCCAGUACCGGUAAUGAUUGUUUGAGCGAUGGAGUGACACAGGAGGGCAGGCAGGCAGGAGAUUGGUUGUUCCUGUACAAGCGUGUAGGGUGGAACGCAGGCAAAUCCGCGUUCUGAGAGCCUGAGGCGUGAUGUGGAGGUUCCGGAAACGGAACUGAAGCUGCUGACCCCACACUGUCGAGAAAAGCUUCUAGUUAGAGAAUUACCGCCCGUACCGUAAACCGACACAGGUAUGCGGGGAGAGAAUCCUAAGGUGCGCGGGAGAACCCUCGUUAAGGAACUCGGCAAAAUGUACCCGUAACUUCGGGAUAAGGGUAGCCGCUGUUGUGAAGUCUGAACAGAUGGAGCAUGAGGCGGUCGCAGAGAAGAGGCCCAAGCGACUGUUUACCACAAACACAGGUGCCUGCUAAAGAGAAAUCUGACGUAUAGGUGCUGACACCUGCCCAGUGCCGGAAGGUUAAGGAAGGAUGUACGGAGCAAUCCAAAGCAUUCGACCGAAGCCCCGGUGAACGGCGGCCGUAACUAUAACGGUCCUAAGGUAGCGAAAUUCCUUGUCGGGUAAG